rnacentral:rRNA from 1 species
GAACGCUAGCGGGAGGCCUAACACAUGCAAGCCGAGCGGUAGAAGUCCUUCGGGACUUUGAGAGCGGCGCACGGGUGCGGAACACGUGUGCAACCUACCUUUAUCAGGGGGAUAGCCUUUCGAAAGGAAGAUUAAUACCCCAUAAUAUAAUUGAUGGCAUCAUUAAUUAUUGAAAACUCCGGUGGAUAGAGAUGGGCACGCGCAAGAUUAGAUAGUUGGUGAGGUAACGGCUCACCAAGUCAAUGAUCUUUAGGGGGCCUGAGAGGGUGAUCCCCCACACUGGUACUGAGACACGGACCAGACUCCUACGGGAGGCAGCAGUGAGGAAUAUUGGACAAUGGGUGAGAGCCUGAUCCAGCCAUCCCGCGUGAAGGACGACGGCCCUAUGGGUUGUAAACUUCUUUUGUAUAGGGAUAAACCUUUCCACGUGUGGAAAGCUGAAGGUACUAUACGAAUAAGCACCGGCUAACUCCGUGCCAGCAGCCGCGGUAAUACGGAGGGUGCAAGCGUUAUCCGGAUUUAUUGGGUUUAAAGGGUCCGUAGGCGGACUCGUAAGUCAGUGGUGAAAUCUCAUAGCUUAACUAUGAAACUGCCAUUGAUACUGCGGGUCUUGAGUAAAGUAGAAGUGGCUGGAAUAAGUAGUGUAGCGGUGAAAUGCAUAGAUAUUACUUAGAACACCAAUUGCGAAGGCAGGUCACUAUGUUUUAACUGACGCUGAUGGACGAAAGCGUGGGGAGCGAACAGGAUUAGAUACCCUGGUAGUCCACGCCGUAAACGAUGCUAACUCGUUUUUGGGUUUUCGGAUUCAGAGACUAAGCGAA